UCAGGCCUAACACAUGCAAGUCGAGCGGAAACGAGUUAACUGAACCUUCGGGGAACGUUAACGGCGUCGAGCGGCGGACGGGUGAGUAAUGCCUGGGAAAUUGCCCUGAUGUGGGGGAUAACCAUUGGAAACGAUGGCUAAUACCGCAUAAUAGCUUCGGCUCAAAGAGGGGGACCUUCGGGCCUCUCGCGUCAGGAUAUGCCCAGGUGGGAUUAGCUAGUUGGUGAGGUAAGGGCUCACCAAGGCGACGAUCCCUAGCUGGUCUGAGAGGAUGAUCAGCCACACUGGAACUGAGGCACGGUCCAGACUCCUACGGGAGGCAGCAGUGGGGAAUAUUGCACAAUGGGCGCAAGCCUGAUGCAGCCAUGCCGCGUGUAUGAAGAAGGCCUUCGGGUUGUAAAGUACUUUCAGCAGUGAGGAAGGUGGUAGUGUUAAUAGCACUAUCAUUUGACGUUAGCUGCAGAAGAAGCACCGGCUAACUCCGUGCCAGCAGCCGCGGUAAUACGGAGGGUGCGAGCGUUAAUCGGAAUUACUGGGCGUAAAGCGCAUGCAGGUGGUUUGUUAAGUCAGAUGUGAAAGCCCGGGGCUCAACCUCGGAAUUGCAUUUGAAACUGGCAGACUAGAGUACUGUAGAGGGGGGUAGAAUUUCA
rnacentral:rRNA from 1 species